CACGACAUGUCACACGUAGGAAAGCCCAGAUUACCCGAACAAAAGCAAGGAAGAGCUCUGGGUAUAACUUACAGAGGGACUUUAAACAAUAGAGAGGAAAAUAUUUCAAGCUAACUGUUUGAAGGGCUCUUCCCUCGAUUUUAGUCCCUCGUUGCCUGAAAAUUAUCUGGUACUGUAUUCAUCUAAGCACGGUUUAAUGUCAAUGAAAGGGUUUAGUCCCUCUAAUUCUGCAUCUUUCCCUUUUCAACCUCUCUUUGGGGCGCAGAGCAUUAUCUCUUCCUGGGAUCAGUCUUCUGUGCUUCGUUUCAGCCCAGCCUGGGAACAGGCAGCACAUUGAGAUGUCGCCGUUCCCAACAUCAGGCAGAAGCUGGAUGAUAAUGACGGCCAACGCUUUCCCACGUUCCCUGCCCAGCGCCGCGAUGCCAAACCCCAUUGUGUCCCACACUCCCCGGCCCACCUGCUCCUUUGGGAGCGGGGUAUUAUCCCCAGGCAAUUCACAGUCAAUUUGCCAUGCUGUAAUGGAUGCUUUCCCAUUGUCCCGGGCACGCAUGGAUUGGCUGGCGACUGUGGGAAACUCCGGCUCGCUCCGGACCCAGACUUUUGUAAUGCGGCCCCUGCGUAUAAAUAGGGCAGAUCCCGGCUGCCUUCCCCACUCCGAGCUGGGAGCAGCCCUUGGGAUAACGAUGCUCGGUCCCUGGACAUCUGCCCUAAGCCAGGACAGCAUCCCACGGUCCGGAGGGGAGCGCAGACUCGGGACCCCGCACGGGAUUUACAGCGGCUGGAGCUGCCUGGAGAAGGGGUUUCAGAGGCACCAGCCCAGCUCCGAGCGGGGGAAAGGCGGAAUCUUGGGGGAAUGGCUGUGAGCCAGCCGGGAUACGGGCCAGCCCUCCAGCGGGAUGAUCCUGACGGGCUCUGCAAUUCCCGUCCCUCCGUCCCACGGGGAAGCUGAGCUGCCGCUCCCGGAGGUCACAGGUGGCACUUGGGGACUCCGCUUCUUCCUCCGCACCCCCCUCCAGCCUCCAGCGCCGAAGCGAUGCCGAAGCCUCGGAGGCACCGGCAUUUCCCGAUUCCGCGAUUUUUGGACGUUUCCCGUAUUCCAGAGGAGACCGUGACUUGCUGCACAAGUCGCCCCCGCUCCUCUCACGAGUAGGGAAGGAUAUUUCCCCUUGGAGCUCCCCUUCCCGCAGAAGGACUGCAGCCACCCCACGGCGUGGAGACAAAGCUGUUCCGAGGGAAUGUGAGCUGGAUGCUCCUGCUGGGAGGGUCGCUCGGCUGUUCUCAACCUCCGCGAGGUUGUCCCUGUGCCUCUGCUGGGAAAGCUGUAACCCCUGGGACGGUCAGAAUUCCCAAAAAGCCUUUUUCCCCCUCUUUCCUCCCAGGGCAUGCGUCUCUCCGGACACACUGGGGAAUCUGGCCUUCCCACGGUGCCACCAGGGGCUCUGUAAUGUUUAUAAUCUAUAAUAUUUAUAGUCUGUUCUGAGAAUGGUUAAACCAUAUCCCAAACUGUGUAGAGGAAAUUCCUCGGGAUGUCUUGCUCACGGGCCAGGGCUGUUCGUGAGGUUCGGGAUGUGCGUGUGUGCCUUUCGUAAAGGCAGGAGCUCGUUUUCGUGUCCUUGUAGGACUGAAAGUUACAGCUGCGCUGUCCAUUAUAAUAGAAAUAUUUAUCUAAGUCUUUCAUGAAAGGCGGGUGUAUAAAUUAUAUUUAAUUUUUGGUACCCUUUUGCCAGGGGAAAAUGGGAAUUUGUUACUGUCCUUGGAGGAUGUUAUGAUGUGUUCUGUGCAAGCUGCACCAAUGUAUGACCUGUGCCAGAGUUAUCUUGAAUGUUGCAGAAACUUUUAACGGUCAAAAAUAAACAAAAAUCUGCUUAAUCAAUCAGAAGUAAUUAGUUUUUAAAGUAGUUUUUACAGCUGGUUUCCCUGUGGUCAACUGACACGAGACAGAUUCCGGUGAAAGCAGAGAUAUUCAGAUUUAACACCGAAUUUCCCACCGGGACCUCUGCAAUGCUGUUCUCCAUAGCUCGGGAAUAUCAAACCCCAGCUCUCUCAAUGUGAGACAAAAAUAACAGCACGCCCGAGCAGCCAAUUCUCUGGGAAUUCAGAGCCAAGAA